GCCGGUAAUGAUAGCACAUUGAGUGUACCAGUUCCCAAUGGAUCACUGAAGUUAAGAAACGUUGGGCGUGGUUAGUAUCCGGAUGAGUGACCAUCUGGGCAAUCACGAACUGCUGGCU
rfam:Asian citrus Psyllid, Diaphorina citri - Florida Strain, whole genome shotgun sequence.